AAAUAGAUACCCGGGUAGUCCACGCCGUAAACGAUGAGUGCUAAGUGUUGGGGGGUUUCCCGCCCCUCAGUGCUGCAGCUAACGCAUUAAGCACUCCGCCUGGGGAGUACGGUCGCAAGACUGAAACUCAAAGGAAUUGACGGGGGCCCGCACAAGCGGUGGAGCAUGUGGUUUAAUUCGAAGCAACGCGAAGAACCUUACCAGGUCUUGACAUCCCGGUGACCACUAUGGAGACAUAGUUUCCCCUUCGGGGGCAACGGUGACAGGUGGUGCAUGGUUGUCGUCAGCUCGUGUCGUGAGAUGUUGGGUUAAGUCCCGCAACGAGCGCAACCCUUAUUCUUAGUUGCCAUCAUUCAGUUGGGCACUCUAAGGAGACUGCCGGUGAUAAACCGGAGGAAGGUGGGGAUGACGUCAAAUCAUCAUGCCCCUUAUGACCUGGGCUACACACGUGCUACAAUGGACGGUACAAACGGUUGCCAACCCGCGAGGGGGAGCUAAUCCGAUAAAACCGUUCUCAGUUCGGAUUGUAGGCUGCAACUCGCCUACAUGAAC
rnacentral:rRNA from 1 species